rnacentral:rRNA from 1 species
UACAGAGGGUGCGAGCGUUGUCCGGAAUCACUGGGCGUAAAGGGCGCGUAGGUGGCGACCCAAGUCCAUGGUGAAAGCUCGAUGCUCAACAUCGAGUCGGCCACGGAUACUGGGUUGCUCGAGCACUGUAGAGGCUAAUGGAAUUCCGGGUGUAGCGGUGGAAUGCGUAGAGAUCCGGAAGAACACCGGUGGCGAAGGCGGUUAGCUGGGCAGUUGCUGACACUGAGGCGCGACAGCGUGGGGAGCAAACAGG